rnacentral:rRNA from 1 species
GCCAACGAUCAUACCACGUUGAAUACACCAGUUCCCGUUAGAUCACUGAAGUUAAGCAACGUCGGGCGUGGUCAGUACUUGGAUGGGUGACCGCUUGGGAACACCACGUAUCGUUGGCUCUU